rnacentral:rRNA from 1 species
GGUAACUUAGUCUUAUAAUCACAAUUUGUGGAUCAAUUAAUCACUCAUCCGUGUUUUAGAAAAAGAAGAGUUAUCUUUAUCUUCCUGUCACCCCAACAAAAUAACUAUCAAAUUAAAUUCACUUUCUUCCAACUGAACUUACUCUGUUCGUUAUCAAGAUCUAUAGGGUCUUCUCGUCCUUCAAUUCUAUUUCAGCCUUUUGACUAAAAAGUUAAAUUCUACUAUGUUUUUAGUGAGACAGCUUGUACCUCGUUCAACCAUUCAUACCAGCCUUUAAUUAGAAGACUAAUGAUUAUGCUACCUUUGCACGGUCAAAAUACCGCGGCCCUUUAAUCUUCAGUGGGCAGGUCAGACCUUCUAUUCACCCAGAAGGCG